rnacentral:lncRNA from 1 species
UCAUAUAUAUGUGUAUCAUGCAAACAACAUUUUCAUUAUGCUCAUGGAUUCAUAACUUCUCACAAGUUAUUUUACAUCAAAUUUUAAGCAUAUACUUGUGUAUUUCAUGGUUAUGAUAUAGGCAAAGAAAUCAUUUAGUUUGGGCAAACCAUGAAACAAUUUCUAAGAGCAUAAGUCAAUCAAUAUAUAUAGAGCCAUGAUAUCAAAAAUUAAUAAUUAAAGACCUUAAUCAUGCCAUAAUAAGAUUUAAGUUGUUGACUUUGCUCAAGAAGUAUCUAGAAUUACCAAUUCAUUCUGCAUUCUUCAGUCAAAUACCUACUAGAUUUCUUAUGUAUGAACCUUUGGCUGAAGAAGGUCCUCUCUCUUGUUUGCAUGUGAAUGUUUAUUGUAUCUUACAUGGAGAUAUCCUUCAAGUUGAGAUCUCUCAUUUUCUUGCUCAAGGAUCCUGCAUCAUUAACAAACUCCUUUUCUUUCUUGAAAGAGAGUCAUUAGUUUCUUCAAGAUACAAAACAUUCAUCCAACAUAUUUUUUAACUAGAUGACUCAAUAUAAGAUAUGACAAUAGUUGCAUGUUGAGUCACUUUACUCAAGAGAUUGCCUAAAUAUAAGCAAGCACAUAUCAN